UCUGAAGCCUAAAUCAGAGCUUGGUGGCCUU
rnacentral:piRNA from 1 species